CCAAUUUUUAUCCCAAGCCAAACUCCCCCAACUAACGAGCGCACAGGCAGAAGCACUAAUCAGGCCCAUUGAGCUCACAGAGGUGCUUGAAACGAUCGCCAAAUUGCCACAAGGGAAGUCACCAGGAGCAGAUGGGCUCCCAAACGCCUACUACAAAAAAUUUGCGCACGUCCUGGGCCCCCACCUGCUAAAAGUGUACCGUAGGGCGACUGCCACGGGCGCGCUCCCACCAGAGAUGCUCCGGGCUACCAUAGUAACCAUCCCGAAACCCGACAAACCCCCGGACACCUGUAAAAAUUACCGCCCUAUAUCGCUUCUAAACUCAGAUGCAAAGAUCUAUGCGAAGAUCCUAACAAAUAGACUAAAUAGGGUCCUGCCAUCCCUUAUUGGGGAUGACCAGACAGGGUUCAUACAAGGAAGACAGGGAACAGAUAAUACCAGGAAACUGUCGCUGAUCCUGGAUUACCUCAGGGGGACCAGAGGAGGCGGUCUAUUACUAGCACUUGACGCCGAAAAAGCUUUUGACCGCCUAAGCUGGCCCUUCCUGCAACAAGCCUUGAGAGCCUAUGGGUUCCCCCCCCAGUUUGAGUCACAAAUUUUUGCUCUGUAUGCGGGUCCGACAGCCCAGGUACUACAGGCAGGCUUUAUGUCUGACCCGUUUCAGUUGUCCAAUGGAACGAGGCAGGGGUGCCCCCUAUCCCCCCUGCUGUACGUGUUAGCGUUAGAACCCCUCCUGCAAACCAUUCGAAACCAUCCUGACAUCAAAGGGAUCCAAAUUAAGGGAACAGAUUACAAAGUUAGCGCCUUCGCGGAUGAUAUCCUCCUUUAUGUCACCGAUCCCAUGACCACGAUCCCUGUAAUUAUGCACAUCAUCAAGGAAUAUGGCCUAUGCUCCUACUACGCACUGAACACCACAAAAACCCAAGCCCUGGGAAUUGGCCUACCCCCCCAAGUGACGGAAACACUACGCAGGACAUACCCUUUCGAAUGGAGGCGGGAUAACAUCAAAUACCUAGG